UUUACCUGCUCUACAGGUUAAUUACCUUAUGUGCAAAUAUACACACAGAGGAAAAGACAAAGUCACAGCAAUUUACAAUCAAAAUGGUUCUCUGCAAGAAGCAGGGGUCACCACUGCAGAGAAUGCUCUAAAAACAAAACUGUCUUUUUCUUUGCAGACGGAAAGGGGAUUUGACCUAGAGAAGAAAAAAACUAGACAAACAAGUUUGUGUACAGAACAAAACACAAAUGUGAAAGCUGACGCUGAAGUAGUGAAAGCAGCUGCCUCAGAAGACAAUCAUGAAUCUAUGAGAGCCUGCCAAAUGCUGAGGGAGAUGCAAAACAAUUGACAUUAUGCAGAAGCAAGUCUCGCCUUAAGUAUUCACAAAUGGGUAUUCAAGAGCCUAUUCUGUGCCUGCUGGUUGGAAAAUGCCUAUUCAAUUUUCUGCCAUUCCUGUGCUUUCUAGGGACUCACAGUCAAGUGUCCGCUGUUUCUCUACUCAUCCUUCUAAUGACGGACACAACAAUCACAGGGUUCUUGCUGUGUUUAUGGUUUGGGGGCUGGAGUUUACCUAUCAGCACAGAGACAUUAUUUCUACGAUUCCUUUGCUUUCAAAACGAGACCUACAGAUCUGUCACUCUGCUGCUUCCUUGGGUCUGCUUCAGUGAAGAGUGGAGUCGAUCCCGUAUAAACAGAUGGGGUGGCAUCCCCAGAGCUGGGGGCACUCUCUCGGUACAGUCUUGUCUCCUCGGUCUGACUUGCUGGUUAAUUGCCGCUUCAUAUGGCAAGCAUAUCAUUCCUGAACUUACAGAAAAUCCACCAGUGUGUAACAACUGGGACUGGAAGUGCCUCAUCAUGUAUAUUAAUGGAGACAGACAAAUCGACUGGUUGGUUCCAGCCAUUGGGCUUGCUCUCGGUGCCACGUUAUUCCAUAACACGAUGGAAAACAGAGACUAUAUUACAUGGACAAAAUUAAAAGUAGAAAGACCUCUGAAUGCACUAGCGCUAGCUCUCCUGCCAAGUAUAGGUACCGCAGUAUCAUUUUAUGUCCUCCCUCCUUUUAUAGCAGUUAACUCAUGGUCCAUUCUGGCUUUGGACAGUCUCUGUGGCAUCUUUCGGUUUCAAAUACCCGAGCCACUAAGCACAGUGUACAGUGCAGAUGAAUGUGCAAAAGUAAUAAAGGACAUAGAGAUUAAUAGACACAAAUGGAGUGUUCCAAAACAGGAAAGUAUAACCUGACAUAAUAAGUGCAAUGUUUGAUUAAAGAAUGUUUUAAUACAAAAAGCAAGAGUAAUGUGUAAAAGGACAAGAUGGAAGAUAGAGGAGACAGGUAGCAGAAGAGACGAAUUGGAAGCAAAGUAAAAGAUGGACAGGGUGUAAGAGGAAAGUGCAAUGCACAGCGCGGAACAUUAAGAGCAAGAAUGAUAUUACAACUGUGAAAUGUUAAACAAUGAUAAUAAAUUCAAACAAACAAAGAUAAAUAGUGUAAUUUGCCCUUGGGCACUCAGUUACAGAGGAACCCUCUAGACACUGAUUGGCCAAUGAUCUAAUAUACAAUUUAUGUUAUCACAAUACUUGAUCGGCUGAUAUUUUGCAAAGGAUUUUACUGUUAACAUUAAUAUUAAUCCAGCAAUGUACAGGCAACCCAACAUGACUUUAUGCCAUCUCCUCCUCAUUUCCAUGUCACCCUGCACCCCCAGAAUGGGGGCAUGUUGCUGUAAUGUAUUAAUAUAUAUGAUUUUAAAUAUUUUGUGAUGCAGAGAAAAUAAACUGAAACUGUUGAA